rnacentral:other from 1 species
GCAACCCUGGGGUGUUUGCCAGUUGGCCGAUGUCCUGAGCCGAUAAAGCAAACCCCGGAUUUCUUUUGCAGAUACUGUUGAGCAUACCCGCACGACGGGAAGCCUGAUGUAUCGCUGAGUUAUCCACCUUGAAUCUUACGGUUCAAGGCUUAAGUCAACAGCGGCACGCUCGGGGCCUAU